rnacentral:rRNA from 1 species
UACGUAGGGUGCGAGCGUUAAUCGGAAUUACUGGGCGUAAAGCGUGCGCAGGCGGUUCGUUAAGACAGAUGUGAAAUCCCCGGGCUUAACCUGGGAACUGCAUUUGUGACUGGCGAGCUAGAGUAUGGCAGAGGGGGGUAGAAUUCCACGUGUAGCAGUGAAAUGCGUAGAGAUGUGGAGGAAUACCGAUGGCGAAGGCAGCCCCCUGGGCCAAUACUGACGCUGAGUGAGCGAAAGCCAGGGGAGCAAACGGG